rnacentral:lncRNA from 1 species
CUUUGGACUGCAGUGACAUCUACAGGAUAGGUGAAAAAAAACAAAAAGAAACAAAAACAUAGGUAUUCCGGAGUUCAAACAUACAUUCUGCUAGAGACUACAGAUUUGGACAUAUUUCAUGAUGAUAAGUGGUCCAAGGGAAGAGAGAAAAAAGGGAAGAAACCAGAUCACUUGAAACACAGAAAGUGGAUUGUUGUUCACUUUUCAUUCCCAAAUGAAGAGAAAGAAAGGAAAAGAUCACACUGGAGAGUGAAGAACUCAAACCAGUUUUCUGGAGUUAUAGAAAAAUGGUUGAAAGGAACAGCAUAAAAAUUGAGACUUAAACAUUUGUUUACAUUUUCUAUCUGGGUGAAUCAUCA